rnacentral:rRNA from 1 species
GUAGCGAGCUUAACCGAGUAGGGGAGGCGUAGGGAAACCGAGUCCGAAUAGGGCGCAUAGUUGCUGGGCGUAGACCCGAAACCAAGUGAUCUAUCCAUGGCCAGGUUGAAGGUGCCGUAACAGGUACUGGAGGACCGAACCCACUAGUGUUGCAAAACUAGGGGAUGAGCUGUGGAUAGGGGUGAAAAGGCUAAACAAACUUGGAAAUAGCUGGUUCUCUCCGAAAACUAUUUAGGUAGUGCCUCACGUAUCACUCUCGGGGGUAGAGCACUGUCAUGGCUAGGGGGUCAUCGCGACUUACCAAACCAUAGCAAACUCCGAAUACCGAGAAGUGCGAGCGUGGGAGACAGACAUCGGGUGCUAACGUCCGGUGUCAAGAGGGAAACAACCCAGACCGCCAGCUAAGGUCCCAAAAUGACGUGCUAAGUGGUAAACGAAGUGGGAAGGCAUAGACAGCCAGGAUGUUGGCUUAGAAGCAGCCAUCAUUUAAAGAAAGCGUAAUAGCUCACUGGUCGAGUCGUCCUGCGCGGAAGAUGU